UCUCUCCGCCACUACUUUGCCCACAGAGACCAUGACAGUGGUACACUCUGUCCCAACACAAGGUCAAAAGCAAGCCAAGUGUUUCCUUGUUGCCGGCUGUAUUUUUCAAAACAAAACGCAAAUGAGAAGGAAGCCAUUCCUCUCCAUUAAGUUUACACCCACAAUCCAAUCCUUUCUCAUCAACUCGCAAACUUUUUCAUUCCAGCCUCUAUCACGCAAGAUUUUCGCGGAACGGUACAUGUUCUCUGCUCUUCCAGCACGCACUGGUAGCAAACUCAGUUGCUCGGCUUUGCUCGUGGCCCACGAACACAGUCGUUGGCACUGAGGAGCUCAGCACCCUAUACCACCCCCACCCGGGCAUAGACACAGCCCGGGCUCCACCAGCUCGACUCCAAAGCCCUGCUUCACAGCGGCGUCUGUCCCCCCCGCAGAGACUCCGCAGGGCCCGGCUUUACCUGAAGCACGUGGUGAGCUCGCCCGAAGACUUCAGACACGGGUAUUUGGUCGUGGCGAUCUUGUUUUCCGAACACACUUCUCUACGAGGGAAAAAGUUGGAGAGGAAACUCCGUUGAAGGUCAGAGGGAGAGUGGAGAGCUGUACGCGCUGCGCUCUGCCUCCAGACGCACCGGCUGCUACUGGUCCCCGGCGGACUCAGUGACAGAAAAGAGCCGGGAGAGCUUCCCAGAACCGGGCGACCCCGGUCCCAAGUGACUAGGAAAGCCAAAGAAGUCAACACCGGAGCGCGACGGGAAAGCUGGGCGGAGGGCAUCCAGCGUCCCGGGGCUGUUCCGUAAGAGAUGAAAGUCACCUGGGCCCGCUAAACGCCCUGCUGGUGGCCCAGGGAACAGGGACCUGUGGGUCCGCCACCUGGGACAAUCUACACCCCGCCAACCAGCCCUGAGCGCACCCAGGGCGUCCUCCGCUAGGGCAGGUGGCCCUUACCUGUCGCGGUCCUCUGGCUCUUCUCGAUUUCCACUGUUUCAUCACGGAUGCCAUCCUAUAAGCAGUAGACCAUGAUGCCAUGUGUGUAGGCAAGUCGCUUUUCAAGGAAGCUAAUGAAUGAUGAAAAGACAAAACCAGCCAGAUAUGACGGUGUAUACCUGUAAUCCCUGCACACGGGCAGAUGGAUGGAGAGACUGAGGGCAGCCUGGGCUAUGUAGUAGUACCCCAGGAUAGCCUGAGCUGCAGAAUGAAAUCCUGCCUCAAGUCUAGAAACCAAAACAAUAGUAACAAUAAGCAAAGACAAAGGUGAAAGCAGAACCAUGUCAGUUGUGUGCGCUAAGCUGAUGUUGGCCACCACCUCAUUGGCCCCUCCACUAAGCAUCUGUGGGGAUAAGGGUCCUGAGAAGAUGCCAGCCAAGCAAACAGUCCAUAUUGGCCUAGGGAAGAAUGUCUUGGUGUGUGGCCAGAACACUUCUGCAAGAGAAGAGCUGUAGCUGAGACCUUUUAAAACCUCUUUUUUUUCUAACUGAAAUUCAUCCAGCUUGGUGCUGUGCUAAGCAGGAGGAAUGCAUGAUGGCCAUCUAUGAAUACCAGUUUAUGACAAGUUGAACAGUCCAGCCAAAGUCAAGCCUGCCUUUGUGCAGGCUUCAGUCUGCAUGGAAGUUUCCAGAACUGCGUUUGCAGGAACCUCGGGAGUUUAGGUUUUUCUCUCCUCACCCUGCACAACUCAGGACUGAUCUGCCCUAUCCCCUCAUCUGCAAACAGCUGGCAUGAGAGAACUUGUCCAUAGUCUCUUACACAGGAGUGUCGCAGAGAUUAAUGAUAGGGACCUCGCAUACCUCGGAGGAGGCUGUGUGGUUGUUUCUUUCAGUGUACCAUUUGGCAGGGUUUCCCAUACAGACCUGUCAGCUUCCCUGAAACAAACCAGAGAGGGGAGAGUUAUACAAUUUACCAUAUCCUAGGGGCCUGGGCUGGGAGGGAGCUUGAGAGUACACUGUGUGCUGUAGGUCAGGGCCCAGGAGGGACAGGUAUCUUAGCAGCAAGGCUGAGAGCUUCCUGGGAGCCAAUGAGGUAACUGGCUGUAGAAUAGAGGCCAGCACCCUAAAGAAAAAAGAAAAAAGGAAAAAGGAAAGCUAGGCAGAGAUUACACUUUCAGAGGAAGCUUCGGUAGUCAGUUUUCAAGAAUCCAACAUCUUAUGGAGACAAAACUAACAUACAAUUAGAAACGGGAAGUUGCUAUUGAAGAUACUUUCCUCCAGAGGACAGAUCACCACUAUUGGAUAGAUUUCUGUGCCCAGUCUAUUCCUGCAUACUCUAGAUCAGCUCAGGCAAAGGAAAAACCAGGACUAAAACUGAAGCUGGAUGGAGGUUACCUGGCAGACUAUAACUGCAGAGGGCCCUGCACUAUAUUAGACCACAGGUCAGCUCUUGGACCCUCAGAAGUCACGUCAGGAUGUUUACAUGAUCAGUUAUAAGAGUCAAGGGAAGGAAAGGCUCAUAAAUUUGCUUUUUAAAGAAAAUGACAGGGCUGGAGAGAUGGCUCAUGGGAUAAAGGCACUUGCUAUUCAAUCCUGGAGACCUGAGUUUGUUCCCCCAGAAUCCCUGUAAAGGCAGAAGGAAAGAACCACAAAAUUGUCUACUGAGUUCCACCAAUGAAGAGACAGAAUAAUAACAAAUUUUAAUUUAUAAAUAAUGGAACGAACAUGCACGCACACACACACACACACACACACACACACACACACACACACUGGUCUCCCUGAAGUGCAGUCAGAAUGACCUAACUAUAAGGUGAAGGCUUUUUCACAGAAACAAGACAGAAUAAAAAUAAGGUAAGUAAAGUUCACUGAGCAGUGUGAUCAAUUGGCCUAGGAUGAGGUGUCCCUAGAAUAAGCACAUUUCCCUAAGAGCUAUCUUUCAGUUUCGGUUUUGAUUGACAUGCAGCCAGGUCUGCUUAGAGAAUUGGGGUUACACCCUAAAAGUGUAAAAGUGUUCUUGUCUACACACCAUUGUGAGGGAUUGCUUGAGGCAAGAACAGCUAGGACACAUUUAAUACUGAAGCCCUGGUCUGGGGUGUGGUCAUUAUCUCUGUCUAAGCCAGCCUUGGUUUUAACUUGCACAGGCUCUAAAGGUUUACUAAAGCUCUAGUGCUGGAAUCUUCUCCAAAACUAGGAAGAAAUACCAGCUUCCCCAUCCAUGAUGGAACCAACUGCCGGCCAGUUUUGAAGUAACAUGUUAAAAAGAUGAAUUAAGCCACUGGGAAAAAAUUAAUUUGUAGACACUUAAAAAAAAAAGAGAGAGAAACCAAUUACACCUUGGUCUUCAGAAUGAAAAGAACAUAAUUUGUGUGAUUCAGGUGUCAUGUUUGUUUUUAUGUGUAUCUAUGGGUGCACACACACACACUCACACACACAUGCAUGUUCACACACAUGCAUAUAUACUCUAGUCAGUCUCAUAUCUAGGAGCCCAAAGCUUCUCCUGUAGGGCACAUGAGCCAGUCAAAGAUGGCGCUGAGGGAAAGUCAGAUGGGCAAGUCCUGAGUUGUUUACAAAAAAGAUGAUUGUUUGCCUAGAUAGAAUCAGAUGAGGUCACUACAGGAACAGCUCGUGUUCACUAGGUAAAGCAUAGGGCCUAUGAUAGGCUGACCUUUGAAACCAUUGGCUGGCUGUUUUCCUGCUCUGUGGUUUUUUCUUUUAAAAGAUGCUUGCUGUGGAAUAAUGUGUUUCUGCUUGACUAGACUCCCUGCCGUGUCUGAUUAUCUCCAGGAUCCUGGGAAACUGGGAAAUGGGUGAGCAGUGAGUGCACUUACCUUUCCUCAGACCCAGCUCAGCCUUCCGUGGUUGGGCUAAGACCCUGCAUCUCCCACAGGAUGACCUCCUUGCAGAGAUAGGAGUCAGCCUCUUCAGCUGUCAGAUCUAUAAGAUUAGACCUAGGAGUUUGGGAUGGAGAAGUGUGUUCUCACUACCCCAGUCUGUAACUCUUUUCUCCUGUAACGGUGGCUGCAGGAUGCAUAGCUAGGAUGAGGGUGACCCUUUCUUUAUCUUGCUGUCCCCCAUAAGUAUAAACAAGGAGGAGUAAGGAGCCAAUAGCAGAGCCAGCCUGUAAACUCCCUGUUUUUUAGAAAACAGCAUUAAGGUCACACCAGGCUCUGCCAUGCCAAUCCCAACAACUCUGCUUCAUUCUUACAGAUCUGAUCCCCUUUACAUUCUUUCACUCAUGAAAGAAGUAUUUAAUACUUCCUGAGUCCUACGAGAUUCUCAAAGCAUCAAGUCAACUUGACACCUAACAGGAACACUGACCUAACCUUUUCUUAUCUGAGGGGUUGAGGAAAUAACCCCAUUAGUAGAGUGCUUGCCUAGAAUGCAUGAAAUCCCAGGUUUGAUCCCUCACACUGCAAAAACCAACCACUGUUGCACCCACAGAAAUCCCAGCAUGUAGAAGGUACUGGCUGGAAGCUCAGGCUUUCAGGGUCAUCCUUGGCUCUAUGACAAGUUCAAGGCCAACCUGUUUCAAACCAAACAACACAAAACUUUUCUGAUGUGAACAAAUAUAUCCACUCCCAUGUUUCUGAGGAUUGAACCCAAGACCUUGUUCAUGCUAGGCAAGUCUACUACCACUGACCUACAUUACUAGCCCACCAAGACAUCUUUUAUAGUAGAAUAAAUAUAGAGACUGGAGACAUAGCUCAGCAGUUAAGAAUGCUUGUUGUUCAAUUGUGAGGACCAGGGUUUGAAAUUCCAACACCCACACCAGGUGGUUCACAAUCACCUGUAACUCCAGUUCGAAGAGAUCUUAUGUCCUCUUCUGGUCUCCAAAAGCAUUCGCACACAUGUGUAAGCACAAACUCACACAGAAACACAUAUACACACAAACAAAAAUAAAUCUAUGUAUUAUAUAACUAUAAAAAUCAUACCAGAACAGUAUGCAUAUUUGAUACAAAAUAAAAAAAAAUAUACUGUUUCCUUCUGUA